UCUUCUACUCUUCUCUCAUUAAACCUCUCCAUGUGGAACCAUGGUAGCUUGGUGUUUUAUGUCCGGUUACGGGCAGAGAUUUAAAACCUGACAUUGGUGCCAAAACCCAGGAUCCAACCAGGAACCCUAACAAUGGUGCCCUGUGAGAGAACCCUAACAAUGAUGCACCCUGUGAGGACAUUGAUCUCCUGUGGUGCCUGUCGCCCUGUCGCCGGCUGCAGCGGUGGGAACCUCGGGGCCGAGGACAGGCUCGUCCCACGGCGCGCCUCCGCCGGCCGCCCAGGCACCCUAGCCUGCCCUGGUCAUGGUCAUGGUCCUGUGCUCCCUCGGAGCUACGGUCCACUCUGGGCCCGUGGCGCAGUCGCGGUCACUCGCUAUGGGCUGCGUGUUUGCACUGGCUGUGGUGAGGAAGAAUGGAGAUGCACGCCACUUCUGUACACAGGACCCGAGAUCGCCGCCUAGCGUGCUGCUGUUGGGCCCUGCCGUUAAAUCUGCCGCCGCUUCUGCGCACGUCACACGAAUUCGAUCUCAGCUGCUGCCUCCACCACUCCAUCUAUGCCUUUGGACCACCACCACCUGCUGGCUGCUGUGGGACUCAGGGCAUCCAUCACUCCAGCAGGAUGCCCAAUCGCCAUGAUGCCCCGCUUAUAGCUGUCCACCAAGGAGAGCGCCCUCUUCAAGCACGUGCUGGUCAUCCAGACAGAAGCUAAAUGAACACCGGAGCUAACAAACCUUGCCAACCCAACGGACACAAAAGAGUACACCUUCUUCCCGGCACCUCGUGAAACUUUCUCCAAAAUCAACCACAUACCUGGACGCAAAGUGAGUCUCAGCCGAUGGAAGAAAAUGGAAGUAAGUCCCAGCGCUGACCACAAUGGAUCAAAGCUGAACCAGGGACACACAAAAAAAGCUCACAAACUUCCGGGACGGACAACUGUACUGGAGAAAAGUGGCUUAAUCCGGAAAUAGAGAAAUUAAGGAUGUUUUAGAAUUCGAUGGAAACACACACGCACAGUAACACUUGAUAAUACUGAAUAAUAAUUAUAAAUACACAGCCCGUCCAAACCUGUGGGACACAAUAAACGUGGUGCUAGGAAGAAUGUUCACAGCGCCAAGUGCCCUGCGUGGAAAAAAACUGGAUCGAUCUCACACUAGCAGCUUAAUAGCAUAGCUGAAGGCUUGAGAACAAAAAGAUCCAAUCAGACUCAAGAGGAGUGGACAGCAGGAAAUAAUCAAACGGAGGGAUGAUAUCAAUAAAAUCGAAACGAA
rnacentral:sRNA from 1 species